AUUGAACGCUGGCGGCAGGCCUAACACAUGCAAGUCGAGCGAGCGGCGGACGGGUGAGUAAUGCCUAGGAAUCUGCCUGGUAGUGGGGGAUAACGUCCGGAAACGGGAGCUAAUACCGCGUACCAUAGGAUGAGCCCAAUUGGGAUUAGGUAGUUGGGGGGGUAAAGGCUCACCAAGCCGACGAUCUCUAGCUGGUCUGAGAGGAUGACCAGCCACACUGGGACUGAGACACGGCCCAGACUCCUACGGGAGGCAGCAGUGGGGAAUUUUGCGCAAUGGGGGCAACCUGACGCAGCCAUGCCGCGGGAGUGAAGAAGGCCUUCGGGUUGUAAAGUUCUUUCGGUAGGGAGGCGGUAACUACAGAAUAAGCACCGGCUAACUACGUGCCAGCAGCCGCGGUAAUUC
rnacentral:rRNA from 1 species